GUCAAAUCAAGAGCAAAUUUUCAAUACGUCCUAAGUAACAUUUGAACUUUAUCGAGAAACCCGAAUUCAAAGUUUUGGUUUUCAUUUUUAAUUCCUAUUUAACAAUCCAACCAAAAUCAAUUAAAUGGAUACACGCAAACAAUAUAAAAAAAUAGCAUUUGUUGCAUCUUUAAUGAAAAACUGGAUAAAAUAUAACAGAACAUUAUUUUUUUUCAUUAAAACAAUUUUACGACGUUUGGUGUCAGAAAACAUAGUUAAGACAUUUUGUUAAGUCGUUCUGGAACCUGUCGGUUACUUUCGUCAGGAGCGUUACGUCGCGUUACGCAAAUUUAUGUUGCUUACGUCGGUGCGGUUACGACAUGCAGUCAGCUGUUAUGUUACUUAAGUCAGAUCGAUACGACGUUUGAAAGAAAAAAUGUUACUUAGGUCAAACCAAUUCCUCCAAAAAAACAGCAAGUGUUUCCAACGCAUGCAGCAAAAAAACAACCCGUAACAAGCCCCAGACAGACAGGCAAACCCCCCAAACCGAUGAGUUUCAGUUUUGUUUUGCACAAGGUUUCAUUCACCUGCGCCACCCCCAGAACCAGGUGAAAUUGAUGUCCACCGAACUCGAACAGGUGCCCUAUCCGCUGCAUUAGUGUGUAUUCCCGAAAGACACUCGACAUUUGUUCCAGUUUUGCGGACAUA